UCAUGGCUCAGAACGAACGCUGGCGGCAGGCCUAACACAUGCAAGUCGAGCGAGACCUUCGGGUCUAGCGGCGGACGGGUUAGUAACGCGUGGGAACGUGCCCUUCUCUGCGGAAUAGCCACUGGAAACGGUGAGUAAUACCGCAUACGCCCUUCGGGGGAAAGAUUUAUCGGAGAAGGAUCGGCCCGCGUUAGAUUAGAUAGUUGGUGGGGUAACGGCCUACCAAGUGUACGAUCUAUAGCUGGUUUUAGAGGAUGAUCAGCAACACUGGGAGUGAGACACGGCCCAGACUCCUUCGGGAGGCAGCAGUGGGGAAUCUUAGACAAUGGGCGCAAGCCUGAUCUAGCCAUGCCGCGUGUGUGAUGAAGGUCUUAGGAUCGUAAAGCACUUUCGCCAGGGAUGAUAAUGACAGUACCUGGUAAAGAAACCCCGGCUAACUCCGUGCCAGCAGCCGCGGUAAUACGGAGGGGGUUAGCGUUGUUCGGAAUUACUGGGCGUAAAGCGCGCGUAGGCGGAUUGGAAAGUUGGGGGUGAAAUCCCGGGGCUCAACCCCGGAACUGCCUCCAAAACUAUCAGUCUAGAGUUCGAGAGAGGUGAGUGGAAUUCCAAGUGUAGAGGUGAAAUUCGUAGAUAUUUGGAGGAACACCAGUGGCGAAGGCGGCUCACUGGCUCGAUACUGACGCUGAGGUGCGAAAGUGUGGGGAGCAAACAGGAUUAGAUACCCUGGUAGUCCACACCGUAAACGAUGAAUGCCAGUCGUCGGGCAGUAUACUGUUCGGUGACACACCUAACGGAUUAAGCAUUCCGCCUGGGGAGUACGGUCGCAAGAUUAAAACUCAAAGGAAUUGACGGGGGCCCGCACAAGCGGUGGAGCAUGUGGUUUAAUUCUAAGCAACGCGCAGAACCUUACCAACCCUUGACAUCCUGUGCCACUCCGAGAGAUCAGACGUUCCCUUCUGGGACGCAGUGACAGGUGCUGCAUGGCUGUCGUCAGCUCGUGUCGUGAGAUGUUCGGUUAAGUCCGGCAACGAGCGCAACCCACAUCCUUACUUGCCAGCAGUUCGGCUGGGCACUCUAAGGAAACUGCCCGUGAUAAGCGGGAGGAAGGUGUGGAUGACGUCAAGUCCUCAUGGCCCUUACUGGUUGGGCUACACACGUGCUACAAUGGCAGUGACAAUGGGUUAAUCCCCAAAAGCUGUCUCAGAUCGGAUUGCGGUCUGCAACUCGACCCCAUGAAGUCGGAAUCGCUAGUAAUCGUGGAACAGCAUGCCACGGUGAAUACGUUCUCGGGCCUUGUACACACCGCCCGUCACACCAUGGGAGUUGGUUCUACCCGACAGCCGUGCGCUAACCUUUUGGGGGCAGCGGACCACGGUACGAUCAGCGACUGGGGUGA
rnacentral:rRNA from 1 species